UAGCGGGUCUGAGAGGAUGAUCCGCCACACUGGGACUGAGACACGGCCCAGACUCCUACGGGAGGCAGCAGUGGGGAAUUUUGGACAAUGGGCGCAAGCCUGAUCCAGCCAUGCCGCGUGUCUGAAGAAGGCCUUCGGGUUGUAAAGGACUUUUGUCAGGGAGCAAAACUUACUGGUUAAUACCUGGUGAGGUUGAGAGUACCUGAAGAAUAAGCACCGGCUAACUACGUGCCAGCAGCCGCGGUAAUACGUAGGGUGCAAGCGUUAAUCGGAAUUACUGGGCGUAAAGCGUGCGCAGGCGGACUUUUAAGCCAGAUGUGAAAGCCCCGAGCUUAACUUGGGAAUUGCGUUUGGAACUGGGAGUCUAGAGUCUGUCAGAGGGGGAUGGAAUUCCACGUGUAGCAGUGAAAUGCGUAGAGAUGUGGAGGAACACCGAUGGCGAAGGCAGUCCCCUGGGAUAAGACUGACGCUCAUGCACGAAAGCGUGGGGAGCG
rnacentral:rRNA from 1 species